rnacentral:rRNA from 1 species
AUUGAACGCUGGCGGCGUGCCUAACACAUGCAAGUCGAGCGGUAACAGGUGUAGCAAUACAUGCUGACGAGCGGCGGACGGGUGAGUAAUGUUUGGGAAUCUGCCUAUUAGUGGGGGACAACCCGGGGAAACUCGGGCUAAUACCGCAUACGCUCUACGGAGGAAAGCCGGGGACCGCAAGGCCUGGCGCUAGUAGAUGAGCCCAAAUUGGAUUAGCUAGUUGGUGAGGUAACGGCUCACCAAGGCGACGAUCCAUAACUGGUUUGAGAGAACGACCAGUCACACCGGAACUGAGACACGGUCCGGACUCCUACGGGAGGCAGCAGUGGGGAAUAUUGAACAAUGGGCGAAAGCCUGAUCCAGCGACGCCGCGUGGGUGAAGAAGGCCUGCGGGUUGUAAAGCCCUUUCGGUGGGGAUAAAAAGCCUUGGUUUAACACACCAGGGUCUUGAUCUAACCCAAGAAAGAAGCACCGGCUAACUCUGUGCCAGCCGCCGCGUAA